rnacentral:rRNA from 1 species
AAUAGAUACCCCGGUAGUCCACCCCGUAAACGUUGGGAACUAGUUGUGGGGUCCUUUCCACGGAUUCCGUGACGCAGCUAACGCAUUAAGUUCCCCGCCUGGGGAGUACGGCCGCAAGGCUAAAACUCAAAGGAAUUGACGGGGACCCGCACAAGCGGCGGAGCAUGCGGAUUAAUUCGAUGCAACGCGAAGAACCUUACCAAGGCUUGACAUACACCGGAAACGGCCAGAGAUGGUCGCCCCGCAAGGUCGGUGUACAGGUGGUGCAUGGUUGUCGUCAGCUCGUGUCGUGAGAUGUUGGGUUAAGUCCCGCAACGAGCGCAACCCUCGUUCUAUGUUGCCAGCACGUCAUGGUGGGAACUCAUGGGAUACUGCCGGGGUCAACUCGGAGGAAGGUGGGGAUGACGUCAAAUCAUCGAUGCCCCUUAUGUCUUGGGCUUCACGCAUGCUACAAUGGCCGGUACAGAGGGCUGCAAGUACCGUGAGGUGAGCGAAUCCCAAAAGCCGGUCCAGUUCGGAUUGAGGUCUGCAACUCGACCUC